rnacentral:rRNA from 1 species
GAUGAAUGCUGGCGGCGUGCCUAACACAUGCAAGUCGAGCGGCAGCGCGAGUAGUUUACUACUUGGCGGCGAGCGGCGGACGGCUGAGUAACGCGUGGGAACGUGCCCCAAAGUGAGGAAUAACUGCCCGAAAGGGUGGCUAAUGCCGCAUAUGAUCUUCGGAUUAAAGGAUUUAUCCGCGUUGGGAGCGGCCCGCGUCGGAUUAGGUUGUUGGUGAGGUAAUGGCUCACCAAGCCGACGAUCCGUAGCUGGUCUGAGAGGAUGAUCAGCCAGACUGGGACUGGGACACGGCCCAGACUCCUACGGGAGGCAGCAGUUAGGAGUAUUGGACAAUGGGGGCAACCUUGAUCCAGCCAUGCCGCGUGAGUGAUGAAGGCCUUAGGGUUGUAAAGCUCUUUCGGCGGGGACGAUAAUGACGGUACCCGCAGAAGAAGCCCCGGCUAACUUCGUGCCAGCAGCCGCGGUAACAC